rnacentral:rRNA from 1 species
GAUGAACGCUAGCGGCAGGCCUAAUACAUGCAAGUCGGACGGGAUUUGGGAGCUUGCUCCCAAUGAGAGUGGCGCCCGGGUGCGUAACACGUAUGUAACCUACCUUCAUCAGGGGGAUAGCCUCUCGAAAGAGAUAUUAACAACUCAUAAUCUAUGUUUAUGGCAUCGUCGACAUAGCAAAUAUUGAUAGGAUUAAGAUGGGUAUGCGGAACAUUAGCUAGUUGGUAAGGUAACGGCUUACCACGGCUACGAUGUUUAGGGGAUCUGAGAGGAUGACCCCCCACACUGGUACUGAGACACGGAACAUACUCCUACGUGAGGCAGCAGUAAGGAAUAUUGGUCAAUGGGCGCAAGCCUGAACCAGCCAUGCCGCGUGCAGGAAGACGGCCCUAUGGGUUGUAAACUGCUUUUGUACCGGAAUAAACCCUUUUACGUGGAAAAGGCUGAAUGUACGGUAGGGAUAAGGAUCGGCUAACUCCGUGCCAGCAGCCGCCGAAA